rnacentral:rRNA from 1 species
AUGCACGCUGGCGGCGUGCCUAAUACAUGCAAGUCGAGCGAACAGACGAGGAGCUUGCUCCUCUGACGUUAGCGGCGGACGGGUGAGUAACACGUGGAUAACCUACCUAUAAGACUGGGAUAACUUCGGGAAACCGGAGCUAAUACCGGAUAAUAUAUUGAACCGCAUGGUUCAAUAGUGAAAUACGGUUUUGCUGUCACUUAUAGAUGGAUCCGCGCCGCAUUAGCUAGUUGGUAAGGUAACGGCUUACCAAGGCAACGAUGCGUAGCCGACCUGAGAGGGUGAUCGGCCAAACUGGAACUGAGACACGGUCCAGACUCCUACGGGAGGCAGCAGUAGGGAAUCUUCCGCAAUGGGCGAAAGCCUGACGGAGCAACGCCGCGUGAGUGAUGAAGGUCUUCGGAUCGUAAAACUCUGUUAUUAGGGAAGAACAAAUGUGUAAGUAACUAUGCACGUCUUGACGGUACCUAAUCAGAAAGCCACGGCUAACUACGUG